AACGCUAGCUACAGGCUUAACACAUGCAAGUCGAGGGGAAACGACAUCGAAAGCUUGCUUUUGAUGGGCGUCGACCGGCGCACGGGUGAGUAACGCGUAUCCAACCUGCCCACCACUUGGGGAUAACCUUGCGAAAGUAAGACUAAUACCCAAUGAUAUCUCUAGAAGACAUCUGAAAGAAAUUAAAGAUUUAUCGGUGAUGGAUGGGGAUGCGUCUGAUUAGCUUGUUGGCGGGGUAACGGCCCACCAAGGCUACGAUCAGUAGGGGUUCUGAGAGGAAGGUCCCCCACAUUGGAACUGAGACACGGUCCAAACUCCUACGGGAGGCAGCAGUGAGGAAUAUUGGUCAAUGGGCGAGAGCCUGAACCAGCCAAGUAGCGUGCAGGAAGACGGCCCUAUGGGUUGUAAACUGCUUUUAUAAGGGAAUAAAGUGAGAGUCGUGACUCUUUUUGCAUGUACCUUAUGAAUAAGGACCGGCUAAUUCCGUGCCAGCAGCCGCGGUAAUACGGAAGGUCCGGGCGUUAUCCGGAUUUAUUGGGUUUAAAGGGAGCGUAGGCCGGAGAUUAAGCGUGUUGUGAAAUGUAGUUGCUCAACAUCUGCACUGCAGCGCGAACUGGUUCCCUUGAGUACGCACAAAGUGGGCGGAAUUCGUGGUGUAGCGGUGAAAUGCUUAGAUAUCACGAAGAACUCCGAUUG
rnacentral:rRNA from 1 species